rfam:TPA: Bos taurus chromosome 20, whole genome shotgun sequence.
UCCCUGGUGGCACAGAGGUUAAAGCGUCUGCCUGGAAUGCGGGAGACCAGGUUUCGAUCCCUGGUUAGGGAA